UUCGAUCAGACCCACGUAAUACCAUCCAACUGCCCACAUUACAUCACCAUACUACAAUCAGAUCGACGGUGAAAACAAAUGUUCUGUCGGCAGACUCCUUCGUCCGGGAUGCUACACAACCCAACGAUGGCACCUCCUAGAAACUAAACAAUACAUCCACAAUCAACGCCGCCACCACGCCAUGAACCUGGCCUCGCCCUUGGGGUCCGCGACAUCCUCAUCCCGGUGGCCGUGCCAUCUGAACGGAACCUCGGCCUUGCUCCGCCAUCCUCACCCCUUGUCUUCGCGUCGUCAUCAACCCGGCGACCGUGCCGUCUGAACGAAACCUCGGCCUCGCCCCUGAUCUCCACGCCGUCGUUGACCCGGUGGCCGUGUCGUCUGAACGAAACCUCCGUCUCGCCCCGUCGUCCUCGUCCCUGAUCUCCACGCCGUCGUCGACCCGAUGGCCAUCCUCGACCCGGCGCGCUGCCCUACCUCCGGUGGCCCGCGCCAUAGUAGUAAUUCCGCCCCUGCCACUGCACAGGUUAGAUCAUUUGAAUUUGCAAUCAGACAUCAGACAUAAGGCAAAGGAAAUAUCUCUUUUAAUCUGACAAAUCUGUAAUUUGUAGUGUGAAAUUUGAUACUUAUAGGACAAUCAUGAUCUGCAUGACAAACUAAGUUCUUCAUGUAGAAUUGUUCAUUGUUUGACUCACAAAUUGACGGCAAGGUUGAAGAAGUGUUUCACAAAUAGAUGCAGUGAGAAGACAAUAUGACAUCCUCUCAGUGUAGUGGGGUAUGUACUCCCUUUCAGGACUUGACAAACAGCGGCAAUUUAGGUAAAUACUACUUCGACCUUGUAAAUCCUGAAUAUUUCAUUCCCUCAUAGGUCAAAAAACAGAUCCAAAAAAUUGAAGAGACAAAGGGAAAGGGAGAGGUAUGCACUAAACAGGGAUGCAAUAUUAAAAAGAAGACAUGAGGCAAGGGAUCGUAAGAAAGCUACAUCGGCUAUUCUCAAUGGAAACAACACUCCAUCUAAGCCACCCGUCUCCAUGUCGCCUGGUUUCUCUAUUUUCUCUGUUCUUUAUGAUACAUUCAUGAAUAACAAGUAAAGUCAUAUUAAUGAUCAGUUCGUUUGGGCAGAUUUUGACACUGUGGAGAGGCCCAGUGCACCAUCUGUUGUUACCCAGCAUGGGUACACACCGGAAGGUGAUGUUUCUCUUGACAAACAUAAUAGCUUCCUUUCCGUGUCAACAAAACUGACACAGUACAUACAUUUGUGAUGUAGGUAUACCUGUUGAUGUCGUAAUGACUGAUCAGACUCCACUUCAUGGUCCAAAUUCAUUAAGAACACCCGAAGAUGUCAACAUGUCGAGUCUGCCAUUGAGUCCUCCCAACUAACUGGGUUACGACCACCACUUCAAGCCUACAAAUGCAGCAUGUCAUAUGGUAAUCAACUGUUCCUCAUAUUAUCUAUGAUACAUAAUUGACACUUAGAUCGUACAGAGGAAAAACAACUUCUUCUCAUAUUGCAUUGUCUACUGUACAUAAUUCACACUUAUUCUACAGAAAGAAAAACAAGCACUUAAGAGGGAGAGGGAAAAUGCCCGGUAUGAGCAACAUGAAGAAGGGAUAUUACAGAGCCUACGUGAGAAACGGUGCCGAGCCAAAUCUACAGUUGUCCCAACAACCGGAGAACAAACUCAAUCCAGUACAGGUGAUGCCAGCUACAUCAAACACAUGAUAUCCAAUCUUUGAUUUCCUAAUUGAUAGUCACUCAAUAUUUCUGUAGCCGAUGAAGAUUGUGAUUGGCUACACAAAAAUGAUACAUACCAGAUGCAAAACAUUGGAGGGAGGAUGACGCCAGUCAACAUACUCAGUAAGCCGUCGUGUGGACACAAUC
rnacentral:lncRNA from 1 species